rnacentral:rRNA from 1 species
UGCCAGCCGCCGCGGUAACACGGGGGGCGCAAGCGUUAUUCGGAAUUAUUGGGCGUAAAGGGCGCGCAGGCGGUCUUGUCAGUCAGGUGUGAAAGCCCGGGGCUCAACCCCGGAACUGCAUUCCGAACUGCCGAGCUAGAGGACAGGAGGGGGAUCUGGAACUCUAGGUGGAGCGGUGAAAUGCGUAGAUAUCUAGAGGAACGCCGGUGGCGAAAGCGAGAUCCUGGCCUGUCCCUGACGCUGAGGCGCGAAAGCGUGGGUAGCAAACAGGAUUAGAUA